rnacentral:piRNA from 1 species
UCAGAGGUCUGAUUCAAUUUAAGUUCAU